AAUUCGACAGAUUUUCUCUUCCAACUGAUGUGAUGUAUCAAGAUGAGCAACAAAAGAAGAAUCCCAAGAUAAUCACGUAAUUAUGUUAGGAGAGAUUCUCAGUUCGAUCUAAUCCUGUCUAAACAGGCUGAAAGAAAUUAGUCACUCAGAAUUAUAUAAAAGGCUCUAUUGAGGCUUGCAAUGGUAAACAACAGACCCUGGAGUAUGGGGACAACACCAAGGUACUGCCAUACUUGAGGAGGAGAUGGCAUUUCUCAGGAUCAAUUCAACAAGAAGAGCUAACUAUCCUAAAUAUAUAUGCACCCAAUACAGAAGCACCCAGAUUCAUAAAGCAAGUCCUUAGUGACCUACAAAGAGACUUAGACUCCCACACAAUAAUAAUGGGAGACUUCAACACCCCAUUGUCAACGUUAGACAGAUCAACAAGACAGAAAAUUAGCAAAGAUAUCCAGGAAUUGAACUCGGCUCUGCACCAAGCGGACCUAAUAAACAUUUACAGAACUCUCCACCCCAAAUCAACAGAAUAUACAUUCUUUUCAGAACCGCACCAUGCCUAAUCCAAAAUUGACCACAGAGUUGGAAGUAAAGCACUCCUCAGCAAAUGUAAAAGAACAGAAAUUAUAACAAACUGUCUCUCAGACCACAGUGCAAUCAUACUAGAAUUCAGGAUUAAGAAACUCACUCAAAACUGCUCAACUACAUGGAAACUGAACAAUCUGCUCCUGAAUGACUAAUGGGUACAUAACAAAAUGAAGGCAGAAAUAAAUGUGUUCUUUGAAACCAAUGAGAACAAAGACACAACAUACCGGAAUCUCUGGGGCACAUUUAAAGCAGUGUGUAGAGGGAAAUUUAUAGCACUAAAUGCCCACAAGAGAAAGCAGGAAAGAUCUAAAAUUGACACCAUAACAUCAUAAUUAAAAGAACUAGAGAAGCAAGAGUGAACACAUUCGAAAGCUAGCAGAAGGCAAGAAAUAACUAAGACCAGAGCAGAACUGAAGGAGAUAGAGAUAGAAAAAACCCUUCAAAAAUCAAUGAAUCCAGGACCUGUUUUUUAGAAAAGAUCAACAAAAUUGAUAGACCGCUAGCAAGACUAAAAAGAAGAAAAGAGAGAAGAAUCAAAUAGACACAGUAAAAAAUGAUAAAGGGGAUAUCACCACCGAUCCCACAGAAAUACAAACUACCAUCAGAGAAUACUAUAAACACCUCUGUGUAAACAAACUAGAAAAUCUAGAAGAAAUUGAUAAAUUCCUCGACACAUACACUCUCCCAAAACUAAACCAGGAAGAAGUUGAAUCUCUGAAUAGACCGAUAACUGGCUCUGAAAUUGAAGCAAUAAUUAAUAGCUUACCAACAAAAAAAAGUCCAGGACCAGAUGGAUUCACAGCCGAAUUCUACUGGAGGUACAAAGAGGAGCUGGUACCAUUCCUUCUGAAACUAUUCCAAUCAAUAGAAAAAGAGGGAAUCCUCCCUAACUCAUUUUAUGAGGCCAGCAUCAUCCUGAUACCAAAGCCUGCCAGAGACCUCUGCCCUUCUUGCCAGCCAUAUAGUGGAGUCAGCAUUGCAACCACAACACAGAUGCAAAGUCAAUUCAUACCCUCUCACACACAACUACACACCUCCAGCUGAAGAACUGAUAGUAGACUAUUGGACAUCCAGGCUAAUGUUCUCCUUUCAAUGUCUUCCUUAGGGAGCAAUAGUGUAGGUUGGGGAAUCUCUCCCACAUUGAUGGCCAUUUUAUUUUUAUUUUUAAAAUUUUUUUCCAACUUUAUUAAGGUAUAAUUGGCAAUUAAAAAUCAUAUAUAAUUAAAUAUUCAGGCUGUAUAACUUGAUAAUUCGAUAUACAUAUGCAUUGGGAAAUAAUCAGCAGAUUUGUGAAUUUUGACAUAUAUAUAUUCGCGUAAACACCACCACAAUCAUGGUACUUAGAACAGUCCUAUCACUCCCCAAAACUCCCUCACGCUAUGCCUUUAUAGUCACAUCACUAUGGCAAUCACUGAUCUGUUCUCCAACACUAUGGUUUUGGCUUUUCAAGAAUGUAAUAUAGAUAAAAUCAUACUGUAGGU